CCGUGAGGGGAAAAGUGAAAAGAACUUUGAAGAGAGAGUUCAAGAGUACGUGAAACCGCUCAGAGGCAAACGGGUGGGCCCUCGAAAGCCGAAGGCGGGGGGAUUCAGUCAGUGGAAGGAGGGCUGGUGCUGGUCUGAAUGACGGACCGCGCCAGGCCGGACCGGGGCCAGAGUCCUUUCGGUCGCUGACGCACUUCCCUCCGCUAGUAGGACGCCGCAACCGGUUGGGUUCCAGAAAGGAAAUUGUCAGCCAUAAGGGCGGGCGAUGGAAGGUGGCCGGUGGCGCUUUGGUGUCGCCGGUUGUUAUCCGGCCUGCCUGGGGCGUGACGCCCGACCGUGGUCGAACGGUCCCUUGUGCGGGACCUCGCCGAGCCCUCCCGACUGAGAGAGCGGGGUCUCCGGCAGGCGCCCUUCAGUGACAGUGUGCAACGUCCGUUCCACACGAGCCUGUGGUCGGAUCUCGGAGGUGUGCCGCUGGUUUGGAGAGUUGCCCGCGGAGGUGCAGGCGGUUGGCGGCGAGUAGGUCGGUCACCCACCCG
rnacentral:rRNA from 1 species